GUCGAGAAUCUUUCACAAUGGGGGCAACCCUGAUGGAGCGACGCCGCGUGGAGGAUAAGGUCUUCGGAUUGUAAACUCCUGUCAUGCGUGAACAAGGUUGCUUGGUUAAUACCUGGGCAAAUUGAUGGUAACGCAAGAGGAAGAGACGGCUAACUCUGUGCCAGCAGCCGCGGUAAUACAGAGGUCUCAAGCGUUGUUCGGAAUCACUGGGCGUAAAGGGUGCGUAGGUGGCGUGGUAAGUCAGAUGUGAAAGCCCGGGGCUCAACCUCUGAACUGCAUCCGAUACUGCCAUGCUAGAGUACUGGAGAGGUGACUAGAAUUCUCGGUGUAGCAGUGAAAUGCGUAGAUAUCGAGAGGAAUACCAAAGGCGUAGGCAGGUCACUGGACAGUUACUGACACUGAGGCACGAAGGCCAGGGGAGCGAACGGGAUUAGAAACCCUGGUAGUCC
rnacentral:rRNA from 1 species